rnacentral:lncRNA from 1 species
UCGACAUGGACCUCACUCUUGCAAUUUUUCUCCACAUCUCUCACGAGAAGUUUUGGGCUUGUGAUCAACCAGUCAGUUUGGAUCCUGCAGAGUGAAGUUAAUACCCGAAGUUUGAAGUUGUCUAUCCGCUAUUUGCUAUCAAAGGUUAUCUCUUUUAUACUAAGUACGUUAUAUAUCUAUGCAUUGUCUUUUGAUAUUACCCCUUAUUUAUAGGUAUAUGUGAGAUUUGACUUCUAAAACUCACGUAUGGUGCAUAUCCGCCACCUCCGUCUCGCUUCCUCGGCCUGCACCCUGCUUUGUCGGCACCACCGCCGCAGCCGGGAUCCUUGCCGCUCUGCGCAUUGGCUCUGGAUCGGACCUGAUGAAGCGGACAUGAAUAGAGACCGGCAUCGACGACUCGACCCUGGGCCGCGGGUCGACCUUCACCACCUCCGUCAUGGCGUCUCAACCCUGGGCCGCAGGGUUUUCCCCUGAGAUAGGCACAGGCAGGGAGAGGGGGUUGCUGCUCGCUGCUGGACUAACCGAGGCUUAUGUAAACCUGGCUAAGUCUAGCCUGCCUCAAAAAGCUAGCUAGGCUUGGAUUUGAACAUGAACGAAACACACCCUAUGUUUCCAAGUAUGAAGGG